ACGGGUGAGUAAUGCCUAGGAAUCUGCCUGGUAGUGGGGGACAACGUUUCGAAAGGAACGCUAAUACCGCAUACGUCCUACGGGAGAAAGCAGGGGACCUUCGGGCCUUGCGCUAUUGAUGAGCCUAGGUCGGAUUAGCUAGUUGGUGAGGUAAUGGCUCACCAAGGCUACGAUCCGUAACUGGUCUGAGAGGAUGAUCAGUCACACUGGAACUGAGACACGGUCCAGACUCCUACGGGAGGCAGCAGUGGGGAAUAUUGGACAAUGGGCGAAAGCCUGAUCCAGCCAUGCCGCGUGUGUGAAGAAGGUCUUCGGAUUGUAAAGCACUUUAAGUUGGGAGGAAGGGUUGUAGAUUAAUACUCUGCAAUUUUGACGUUACCGACAUAAUAAGCACCGGCUAACUCUGUGCCAGCAGCCGCGGUAAUACAGAGGGUGCAAGCGUUAAUCGGAAUUACUGGGCGUAAAGCGCGCGUAGGUGGUUCGUUAAGUUGGAUGUGAAAUCCCCGGGCUCAACCUGGGAACUGCAUCCAAAACUGGCGAGCUAGAGUAUGGUAGAGGGUGGUGGAAUUUCCUGUGUAGCGGUGAAAUGCGUA
rnacentral:rRNA from 1 species